CAAAAGGGCCUGGGGCUGGGUGAGCGCUCUACCUGGCUUCCCUCCUUGGGUGAGGAGGAGUGGGGUGGAAGGAAGGUGAGAAGGUGGUGCCCCUUUUCUGGAUCUCUUGGUUUCCCUUUGACUCUCCAUCUAGUAUUCUCUGCAUACACACACACUCGCACACACACACGCGCACACACAUGCACACUCAUAUGCACACGCACACUCGUCUCUGCCUAUGACUGUUCGAUAUCUUGUUGAAUAGGCUCUGUGAAGGGCUGGGGGAGGGGCACAUGUUGGAGAGAAUGCCUACUUUUACUUCACUCGCAAAGAUUCAUCCCAAAUUCUGUGGGGGUGUGUUGGCAAGGAGGGGAGGCAAGACUAAACAGAGGGGAUAAAAACUUGCAUCCGCAUGAUUGCUUUUUAAAAAUAUGACAACUUGUGAAAGCUUUAUUUUCUGUUUAUAGUGAAAGGCAUUUCUUCUUGCCAUUUACAGAGCAAUUCUGCAAGAGAGCUUCAGCAAAAUUCCAAAACAAUCGCAUCGAGAGUCGGCACAACGCAGGUCUCCCGACUUUGACUGGUUCCAGACGAAGUUUCUUUUGUCGUUUGCUAGCCUCCAGGGAUGCAAUCUCUACACUCUCUGUGGGAUGGAGGGGGAAGGUGAGUGGAGGGAACAUUAAAUAUUAGGAAACCCGAAGAAAAAGCAAAAGCAACUGCUUUCUCAGGCUGCCCUUCGGAGGUUCGUAGUCCGGGAACGAUGAAGGGAGACUGCCACCUAUGGGCCAGGUUCCAGGGACGCCCGCACGUGGCGUUCUGCGGGACAGACGCAGUCUUAAGGUAGAAGGGAAGGCGUCUUCAUGGGACAGUGAGUCACCGCACACUCUGCUUGCAGGCAGAAGCACUCUUAACUCAUUCAGGACAGAUGAGCAUUUUCCCAAUUUAAAGGACACUUUUUUUUUUUUUUAAACAAGAGUGUGAUCUUGUAAGCCAAGUUUUGUAAUACAAACAAAAUAAUGGAACUGACACCCCAGGACCCACCAUUUAAAUUAAACAGAUGUUCAGUUCAGUUUGGCUGCUAGGUUCCACAGUGGGAUCCACUCCAGCACUAUACCUGAAAUUGUGUGGCUGCUUAACAAAAAUGAAUCAGCAUAAUGAAUCAGAGAUAAACAUCCUCUUGCCGUGCCGUCCCAGUAGAAAAGCAACAGGAUAAAUAACAAUUGGGCAAAUAUCAAACCCAUUCCAGCAGAUGCCUGUGGGUGGGGGCAAGGGAAAUGAAAGUGGAAUCAGACACAAAGGGGAAUAUAAAAGGAAGCACAGUUGUAAAACUAGAGAGGGACCUCACAUACAGUCACGGUAAUGGGAUAAGAACUGAGGAGUAUAAUUCAAUCACCUCUGCUCCCAACGUGAAAAAGAAAAGUUAUAUGCUUUGAGCUUGGCAAGUGGGAGACGGCUACUGUGUUAUAAUGGUUCCAAUGGUAUCAUACAGUUGUCCUUUGAUAUUUGAGAUCUAUGUGUUCGUGAAUAGCAAAUCCUAUUAUUCCCAUUGUCUUCCAUUAUAAAAUCAGAUCUGCCACACAACACCUAUACGAUACUGGAUUUAGAGUAACCAAGCAGUCCCGACUCCUGUUGCAGAGAAGGGAGUGGUGUAGGUAUUUGUGUGUGCAUUUUUUUGUCUGAGUGUGUGUACAUGUGCAUGUAUAUGAAAGCAUGUGUGUAUGUAUGAGUGUUUAAAAAAGGAGCUCAGGAAGGAUUAUGGUUCUGUCACUCCAAACCAAAGGAGAUUUAAGGUCCUCUGCCCAGCAUUGUAGCACCUAGAGAAAAGCUAACCCUGUCCAGGGAGGCAUCUCCCCUGAAUAGGCACAUGUACUGAAUAGGCACACUGCCUUCCAGACCCAUCAGAAAGGCAGAGUUGGGCUGUAGAGUCUUCAACAGAAAUCAGCAAGUAAAACUUGGGAUGCUAGAAUGGUACUGUACUUUCAGCAAGUGGCAAAGGAAACACAGGAAAGAAUCCAACAGAAGCAGGAUGGGGAUUUUCUGGGCAGACUAGUAGGCUGGGUGAGGGAGAAUAACCCAGUGUUGCACUCUAUGUAUAAUCCACAUUUUGUUUGCCCAUUUUGCUCCUGAAGGACCUGUAGGAGACAGGAGCUAGGCCAGAACUGUUCUCUUAGCCCCACCAACUAAGGGUUAGUAGCAUCAGUUCCUAAGUGAAGAAGAACUGGCAACCGAUACCAGAAUCCAUCGAAUGUCCUUUAGGGUUCUUUAUACAUAAAAACAUAAAUAGUGCCAAAUUCUCAUUAGUAGCUCAGUUGCUCUUUAAAAAAACACUCCUUUUAUCUUUUAUGAAGUGUAAGUUCAAGAGUCUUUCUAGAUGUUGUAAUAUUCGGACACCUGGUUUAGGAGGCCUCUCUCUCCCCCCUUCAUAUAUGUGAACCAUAACCAGGAAGAUCUGAGUAUCUUUAACGUAUAUUAGUAAAUUAUAUAUACUAUCGUUUCAUGUACUUUACAUUUUAUGUAAAUUAUAU
rnacentral:lncRNA from 1 species